GACGUAGGGGGCCAGCGUUGUUCGGAAUUACUGGGUGUAGAGGGUUCGUAGGCGGUGCGGCAAGUUGGGAGUGAAAUCUCUGGGCUUAACCCAGAGGCUGCUUCCAAAACUGCUGUGCUUGAGUGUGGGAGAGGCGCGUGGAAUUGCAGGUGUAGCGGUGAAAUGCGUAGAUAUCUGCAGGAACACCCGUGGCGAAAGCGGCGCGCUGGACCACUACUGACGCUGAGGAACGAAAGCUAGGGGAGCAAACAGG
rnacentral:rRNA from 1 species